CAGCCACGGUGGAGGAUUUGGAGGAGGUGGUGGUUUCGGAGGAGGUGGAGGAUUUGGACGCUAGAAUUCUCCAGGGAAAACCACAAGAAAUUCUUCUUUGUUUCUCUUUUUGUGUUUUUGUUAAAGGUAAAUAAAGACAGAAAAUGAUA